UGGAUGCGCUGCUAUACAUGCAGUCGAGCGGAUUGAUGGGAGCUUGCUCCCAUGAUAUUAGCGGCGGACGGGUGAGUAACACGUGGGUAACCUGCCUGUAAGAUUGGGAUAACUCCGGGAAACCGGAGCUAAUACCGGAUAACAUGUUGAACCGCAUGGUUCAACAUUGAAAGAUGGCUUUUGCUAUCACUUACAGAUGGACCCGCGGCGCAUUAGCUAGUUGGUGAGGUAAUGGCUCACCAAGGCGACGAUGCGUAGCCGACCUGAGAGGGUGAUCGGCCACACUGGGACUGAGACACGGCCCAGACUCCUACGGGAGGCAGCAGUAGGGAAUCUUCCGCAAUGGACGAAAGUCUGACGGAGCAACGCCGCGUGAACGAUGAAGGCCUUCGGGUCGUAAAGUUCUGUUGUUAGGGAAGAACAAGUACCAGAGUAACUGCUGGUACCUUGACGGUACCUAACCAGAAAGCCACGGCUAACUACGUGCCAGCAGCCGCGGUAAUACGUAGGUGGCAAGCGUUGUCCGGAAUUAUUGGGCGUAAAGCGCGCGCAGGUGGUUUCUUAAGUCUGAUGUGAAAGCCCACGGCUCAACCGUGGAGGGUCAUUGGAAACUGGGGAACUUGAGUGCAGAAGAGGAAAGUGGAAUUCCAAGUGUAGCGGUGAAAUGCGUAGAGAUUUGGAGGAACACCAGUGGCGAAGGCGACUUUCUGGUCUGUA
rnacentral:rRNA from 1 species